CGCAUCUUGCGCUCCUUGGUAUUCUGAGGAGCAUGCCUGUUUGAGUAUCAUAAAAACCUUUCAAUGCUUUAAUUGAUUUAAUUUAAUUAAUGCUUGAAUAUUGGGAAUUGCUAAAAUAUUCAUAUUGUUUGUUUUUAGCUUUUUCUGAAAUAUAUCAGCAAAGUUAUUCUUUUGUUUUGAUUAUCAAUUUUAUAAUCAUAUUAUUGAUAUUGAUAUUUAAAAAGAGCUUUGCUUAACUUUAUUUUUAAUCAGUUUUGAUCUCAAAUCAGGUAGGACUACCCGCUGAACUUAA
rnacentral:misc_RNA from 1 species